GCUCCGUUAGCUCAGUUGGUAGAGCGCUGGCAUCACAAGCCAGAGGUCGCGGGUUCGAGCCCCGCACGGAACA
rnacentral:tRNA from 2 species